UUUCGCAAUGCCCGAAAGGGUGACGAAGCGACGCCGCGUGCGGGAAGAAGGCCUUCGGGUUGUAAACCGCUGUCGGGAGUUAAGAAAUGUAAGGAUGUUAAUAGCAUCUUUGCUUGACUAAGGCUCCGGAGGAAGCCACGGCUAACUCUGUGCCAGCAGCCGCGGUAAUACAGAGGCGGCAAGCGUUGUUCGGAAUUAUUGGGCGUAAAGAGCACGUAGGCGGCUAUGUAAGUCGGUUGUGAAAGCCUUCCGCUCAACGGGAGAACAGCAUCCGAUACUGCAUGGCUUGAGUGCGGGAGGGGAGAGUGGAACUUCUGGUGGAGCGGUGAAAUGCGUAGAUAUCAGAAGGAACGCCGGCGGCGAAAGCGGCUCUCUGGCCCAUAACUGACGCUGAGUGUGCGAAAGUUAGGGGAGCAAACGGGAUUAGAUACCCCGGUAGUCCUAGCCGUAAACGAUGGGCACUAAGUAGAGGGGUUUUA
rnacentral:rRNA from 1 species